rnacentral:rRNA from 1 species
GUCCACGCUGUAAACGAUGGGCACUAGGUGUUCGGGUAUUGACCCCUGAGUGCCGCAGCUAACGCAUUAAGUGCCCCGCCUGGGGACUACGGCCGCAAGGUUAAACUCAAAGGAAUUGACGGGGCCCGCACAAGCGGUGGAGCAUGUGGUUCAAUUCGACGCAACGCGAAGAACCUUACCUGGGCUAGACAACAUCGGACAGCCCCAGAAAUGGGGUCUUCCCGCAAAGGGACCGGUGGUUCAGGUGCUGCAUGGCUGUCGU